rnacentral:rRNA from 1 species
UACGAAGGGGGCUAGCGUUGUUCGGAAUUACUGGGCGUAAAGCGCGCGCAGGUGGUUUCUCAAGUCAGUGGUGAAAGCCCGGAGCUCAACUCCGGAACUGCCAUUGAAACUGUGAAACUUGAGGACGAGAGAGGUGAGUGGAAUUCCCAGUGUAGAGGUGAAAUUCGUAGAUAUUAGGAAGAACACCAGUGGCGAAGGCGGCUCACUGGUCCGGUACUGACGCUGAGGUGCGAAAGCGUGGGGAGCAAACAGG